rnacentral:tRNA from 1 species
GCCGGCAUAGCACAGCUGGUAGUGCAGCUGACUUGUAAUCAGCAGGUCGGGGGUUCGAAUCCGUCUGCCGGCUCCA